rnacentral:rRNA from 1 species
AUGGCUCAGGAUAAACGCUGGCGGCGUGCUUAACACAUGCAAGUCGAACGGAGUACUUCUCCCGAGACCGAGGAAGCUUGCUUCCAAAGAAUCAUUGAAGUACUUAGUGGCGGACGGGUGAGUAACGCGUGGGUAACCUGCCUCACACAGGGGGAUAACAGUUGGAAACGACUGUUAAUACCGCAUAAGCGCACAGUAUCGCAUGAUACAGUGUGAAAAACUCCGGUGGUGUGAGAUGGACCCGCGUCUGAUUAGCUAGUUGGUGAGGUAACGGCCCACCAAGGCGACGAUCAGUAGCCGGCCUGAGAGGGUGUACGGCCACAUUGGGACUGAGACACGGCCCAAACUCCUACGGGAGGCAGCAGUGGGGAAUAUUGCACAAUGGGGGAAACCCUGAUGCAGCGACGCCCGCGUGAGUGAUGAAGUAUCUCGGUAUGUAAAGCUCUAUCAGCAGGGAAGAUAAUGACGGUACCUGACUAAGAAGCACCGGCUAAAUACGUGCCAGCCGCAGC